rnacentral:tRNA from 1 species
UGGUUUAUACUUUAAUUAGAAGGAGUGGUUUGCAGCCAUAUAGUGAAAUAAAUUUUCUAAAUCAA